AUGUUAAUUUGCUCUUUUUUUUUUCAGGAAUAUAUGCGUUUUCCAGCAACAAUAUUAAAGUGGGCUCCAACAUUGAAGUGGAGGGAACUCCUUGGAGGGUUAUUGGUAAUUCUUGCUAAUUUUACCUACUUGUGUCCAGAGGUAUGGUUGUUGAAUUGCUUAUGGAUCAAGAUUACAUUUUUAUGACUAAUGAUUUCCUGUUGACUUGUACAAUGUUAUCCCUCUAGUUUAUUUUGUUUUUCAAUUUUGAUAUAAAAAAUUCUUUCUGUGCACCUUCUAGUUUGAGUAUAUGACUAAAAUGCACUAGCAUUGUGAAAUUCUUGAAGUCAUCUGUGCCUUGUACAAUAAACUUUGCAUCUCAGAGAUCGAAAUAAUGAAGAAUUUUGGAUAACUUUUAUCCUUCGUGGGUUUGAAUUUUAGAUCAAUUUUGGGUUGUCGAAUUGAUCGAGUUUAAGUGUUUAUAGUCUACUUUACUGAUUUUCAUUUGACAUGUACACUGUUAUUCAUUCGACAUGUACACUGUUAUUCAUUCAGUUUCUUUUAUUUUGGAUUUUAAUUUAAAACAUUGUUCUUCUGCUUCUAGUUUGAUUAUAUGACUGAACUGUACUAGCAUUACAGAAUCAUUAAAUUGAUAUGUGUCUUGUAGUAGUAGUAUGUGUAUCGGAGUUCUGAAAACAAUGAAGAAUUUUGGAUAAUUUUAUCCCUUUGCCUUUGGUCGGGAUUGUUGUCAGUCAAACAAGAAAUUUUUAUUUUCAUUGUUUUGUUCUGUGUGUGUGUGUGUUGGGGUGAGGUGGGGCGUGAUAUCAACAUUUGGAGUUCUGGAGUUGAAAUUGAUUUGGUUUUUGGUAAAUCUUUAGAGUUUCUCCACGUGAAACCUGGCAAAGGGGCAGCAUAUGUGAGGACCAC
rnacentral:lncRNA from 1 species